rnacentral:rRNA from 1 species
GUUUGAUCCUGGCUCAGAAUGAACGUUAAUAGUUGACUUAACACAUGCAAGUCAAACAGAUUUUUUUUAAUUAUAAAUCAGUGGCGAACGGGUGAGUAGUAUACAGAAAUUAACCUUAAGGAUUUAGUUAAAUACAUAAAAUUUAUUUGCCUUAAGAAUAGUCUGUAACAGGAUUAAGUCGUUGGUUGUUUAAAAGACUACCAAGCUUAUGAUCCUUAGCUGGUCUUUGCGGAUGAACAGCCACAUUGGAAUUGAGAUAAGGUCCAAACUUUAUAUCUAAGGCAGCAGUGAGGAAUAUUGGGCAAUGAGCUAAAGCUUGACCCAGUUAAACUAUAUGUGUGAAGAAGGCAAUGUAUUGUAAAGCACUAAAACUCUUAUUUAAUAGUGAUUUUCUGAGUAAUAAUCCUGGCUAAUUUCGUGCCAGCAGCCGCGGUAAAACGGGAAGGGUUAACGUUAUUCGAAUUUAUUGGGCGUAAAGCAUAUUUAGGUGGAAAGCUUCAUUUUCAAUUAAAUUUUAGGUUUGAUCCUUGAAUUUUUUUAAUCAAAGUUUUCUAGAGUUUAGUUGAAGAUUAUGGAAUUUUAAGUGUAACGGUAAAAUGUUUUAAUAUUUAAAAGAACUUCAAUAGCGAAGGCAAUAAUCUAGAUUAAUACUGACACUAAAAUAUUAAAGUGUGGGUAGCAAAAGGGAUUAGAUACCCCUGUAGUCCAUACCUUGAACGAUGAGUGUUCAUUAUUGAGUGUUUUUAGUAAUUUAGUUAACGCGUUAAACACUCCGCCUGGGGACUACGAUUGCAAAAUUAAAACCCAAAGGAAUUGACGGGAACCUACACAAGCAGUGGAGCAUGUGGUUUAAAUCGACAGUACGCGCGAAAUCUUACCAAUUUUUGUAUAAUUUUAAAUUACAGGUGUUGCAUGGCUGUCGUCAGUCCGUGCUUUAAAGCGUUUGGUUUAUUCCAGUAAACGGACAAAACUUUUGUAUAUUUUAGAAUAUAGAUAACCAAAGAUAUUUUGGAGGAAGUUGG